GACGAACGCUGGCGGCGUGCUUAACACAUGCAAGUCGAACGGAAAGGCCCUGCUUUUGUGGGGUGCUCGAGUGGCGAACGGGUGAGUAACACGUGAGUAACCUGCCCUUGCCUUUGGGAUAACUUCAGGAAACUGGGGCUAAUACCGGAUAGGAGCUCCUGCUGCAUGGUGGGGGUUGGAAAGUUUCGGCGGUUGGGGAUGGACUCGCGGCUUAUCAGCUUGUUGGUGGGGUAGUGGCUUACCAAGGCUUUGACGGGUAGCCGGCCUGAGAGGGUGACCGGCCAAAUUGGGACUGAGAUACGGCCCAGACUACUACGGGAGGCAGCAGUGGGGAAUAUUGCACAAUGGGCGGAAGCCUGAUGCAGCAACGCCGCGUGCGGGAUGGCGGCCUUCGGGUUGUAAACCGCUUUCGCCUGUGACGAAGCGUGAGUGACGGUAAUGGGUAAAGAAGCACCGGCUAACUACGUG
rnacentral:rRNA from 1 species